rnacentral:rRNA from 1 species
AUUGAACGCUGGCGGCAUGCCUUACACAUGCAAGUCGAACGGUAACGGGCCUUCGGGUGCCGACGAGUGGCGAACGGGUGAGUAAUGCAUCGGAACGUACCUUUCAGUGGGGGAUAACGUAGCGAAAGUUACGCUAAUACCGCAUAUUCUGUGAGCAGGAAAGCAGGGGAUCACAAGACCUUGCGCUGAUUGAGCGGCCGAUGUCAGAUUAGCUAGUUGGUGAGGUAAAGGCUCACCAAGGCGACGAUCUGUAGCGGGUCUGAGAGGAUGAUCCGCCACACUGGAACUGAGACACGGUCCAGACUCCUACGGGAGGCAGCAGUGGGGAAUUUUGGACAAAUGGGGGGCAACCCUGAUCCAGCCAUGCCGCGUGAGUGAAGAAGGCC